AUUUAGAUUGCUCUCUCCCUCCUCACCAAUCUCUCUCUCUCUCCAAUUCAGAUUGCUCUCUUCUCUCCUCACAAAUCUCUCUAUCCUGUUUAGAAAUUGAUAAGGAUGACGAUACAUGGCAGGUACGUUAAUUAUCGAAUCUCUCUUCCUCGCUUCCCUCUCUCGAUCUCCGCAAGGAGGUUAAUUAUAUAAUCGUUUCCGAUUAAUAUUUUUGAUGGAUCCCGGCGAAGAUCUAGAAAUUCUAAUUAGAUGUUGUAUCAUGUUAAUGAUUACUAAAUUCAAUAUGAUGAUGAUGAGAGCACUUGUUCUGCGAGAACUAGAUGUAAUUCAUGCCUCCUCAAAGAUCAUUAUGGUAAAACCUAUUUUAAGCCUUCUUAAUUGUGCCUGAUGUCAAGUUUCUGCUAGUUUUGGGUUGAUGCUUUUCUAUCGGUAUUGUUUUGGUCUUGUUGUCAAUGAAGAUUCCAGAUCUCUCUGAGUUAUUUUGUUGAUGAGGCACUACUGAUGAGGACUUGUGCGGUAAUGUUUUGAUGAUUUAGAUCACUGUCUGUUUUAGAUCAUUACCUGUGUAUCUGGUAUUGGUUUUGUUGAUGAAGAUUCUAGGUUUCUAUCUAAUGAUCUUGUCCGGAAAGUGACUUACAUAUGAAGAGGCGGAAGUGACUUAUGCGGUAACAUCAUAACCUGUGACCUGUGUAUCUGCUAGUUUUUGGUUGAUGCUUUACUAUGGGUAUUGGUUUUGUUGAUGAAGAUUCAGGUGUUUCUUCCAUGUUAAAAUUACGAGCUUGUGUAUCUGCUAGUUUUUGGUUGAUGCUUCACUCUGGGUAUUUUUCUUCUUGAUGGAGAUUCUAGGUUUCUCUUCCAUGUUAAAAUUAUGAGAAGUGAAUAAUGAGGAGGAUUUGAGCGUAACUGCUCAUUUUGUUUUGAGUAGUUAUUUGUUGAUAUUGUUGUAGCAAUGGUGUGUUGUGUGUUGGCUGGUUUAUUCACGAAAGUUUUAGAACAGAUCAUUCUAAGAGAAAGAGAUGAGACAAGUGGAUGAGCACAGUGGUACCAUGCCUAUUCUCAAUGCAAUAUUAUAAAUUAAAGCUGGUUAGACUUUGUAGGUCGAGUAGUGAUGGACGUUUAUGGGGGUUAUGUCGGGCUAUUAACAUUUAUUCUUCUGUGUUGUUCAAUGUUCCAGUUCUGUGAAGGUUUUGGGAAGUGAUAAGCUAUAAAGGAUUUCGAUAGUUAGGUAUGUACAUGCGAUGGGCAGACUAUUGAGGACUGUCUUUGGUUUGAUCUCAUUCUUCAUUGUUUGGAGGAAAUGUAUAAACAUUGACUAGAAGCUGUAUUAUUUUACAUGUGUAGCAUUGUUGUACAUGAUAAUGUGUGUUUUAUGCAAGAUGUUCUACAUUAUUGAAGUGUUAAUAAAUUUGAAGACAAAAGUUGUGACUCUUUCAACAUGUGAUCCGAUUCUUAACUAUCGUUGUUGUUUGAACCUUUCUUACGAUAUUGUUUAUCUGACGCCCCUUCUAUUGAUAGAGUAAUGUUUUGUGUCUCUUAUACCUUGUUUGUUGUACAGAAAUAUAACUUUGUUUCAGAGUUAUGGACCACACGAGAUUCAACAAAAGAUAACUGUUUCAUCACCCAGCUAUUUUUCUCUUAUAUUCUUGCAGUGCCCCUAUACUUACUAUUUUUUCCCCCCUUCCGUAUACAGUUCAUUUAUGUUUACAUGGCCUGUCAUUUCUCUAACGAAGAUUUGAAUAUGCUUUUGUCGCUAAUGAUUUCAGAAUUACCGGAGCUUGAAACCAUUGAGGCUGCUAAAGUUCAACUAACUUUAUG
rnacentral:lncRNA from 1 species